UACGGAGGGGACUAGCGUUGCUCGGAAUUACUGGGCGUAAAGCGCACGUAGGCGGCUUUGUAAGUCAGGGGUGAAAUCCCGGGGCUCAACCUCGGAACUGCCUUUGAUACUGCAAAUCUCGAGUCCGGAAGAGGUGAGUGGAAUUCCUAGUGUAGAGGUGAAAUUCGUAGAUAUUAGGAAGAACACCAGUGGCGAAGGCGGCUCACUGGUCCGGUACUGACGCUGAGGUGCGAAAGCGUGGGGAGCAAACAGG
rnacentral:rRNA from 1 species